UCCUCUAUACCUGACACUAAUACAACAUUGUAAAUCAACUAUAUGCCAAUAACAUUUUUUAAAAAGAUUCUACCUUGGGCAAAAGUAGAAAUCAUAAAGAAAGAUUCUGAUUUUGAUGAAAAAAGAAAGAAAGGAAAAGGGGGGGGAGUAAGUGAAGUGUCAGGACUUUCAUCCUAACAGUCUGUAAAUGUCUCUUCUGCCCCUCCCUCUGUGCUGCUGCUGCAGUGCCUUGCACUGGCCUGUCACUCAGGAUGUCACAGGUGGGGGAUGCUUCACUUUGCUGAAAAGCUCAGGUUCUUUGCACAGAGUUGUCUCCAAUCUGGGGUGGGGAAGUGCCCUCUGGUCAGCUCAGCUCAACCAUGGACCCUCAGCCUCCCUAUCAGCCACUGAACAGUGAGGAUCUUCCACUGUCUGAGCCAACACGCAUCAACAUUGUGUUGAAGAGACCAGCACGCGGGACCUGGGAUUACAGGAGGAAAAUCAGCAGAGUUUUUCUUUUGCCUGAGUACAGUUAGAGAGAGAGGCAUUUGGGGCAAAACACCGCUGGAUUUAAACAAGGAUGCUGUCAUAUAAACAGGCACAUCGUUCUAAACUGAGCAAGAAAAAAAAUUAUUCUGCUGAUUACCAAUAGAAUACCUUAUGACUGACAAAGGCUUUGGCUUCUCUCAUGUCAUUGACUUCUUUCUCAUGACAGCCUAGAAAACAAAAGCAUUGGAAGCCGUCUUACAGAACAGAAAACUGAGGCAGAGAAGUCUAGAGAAUUGCUUCAAGUUACAGUGGAUUCUUUACAGACUGAGCCACCAGGACCUUCAAGUUGCAAAAUUCCAAAGAUGCUAAUAGGUGCCCUUAGAGGAUCCUUAGCUCUGUUGUGGACCGACAACAUGGGGCAUCCUGAUGUGCGUGGCUGCCUGAGUGUGUGCUCAGUCACUUCAGUCGUGUCCAACUCUUUGUGACCCUAUGGACUGUAGCCCGCCAGGCUUCUCUGUCCAUGGGAUUCUCCAGGCAAGAGCACUGGAGUG